rnacentral:rRNA from 1 species
CUUUUUAUUAAGUCUGACCUGCCCACUGAUUUAUUUAAUGGCCGCGGUAUUUUGACCGUGCAAAGGUAGCAUAGUAAUUUGUCUUUUAAUUGAAGGCUUGUAUGAAUGGUUGGACGAGAAAACUACUUUCUUUAUAAUAAAAUUGUUAAUUUUAUUUUUUAGUUAAAAAGCUAAAAUGUUGUUGUAGGACGAGAAGACCCUAUAGAACUUUAUAUUUAUUUUUUUAUUAAUAUUUUUGGUUAAUAAUAUGUUGUAUCUUUAUAAAUAUUUUGUUGGGGCGACAAGAAAAUUUAUUUAACUUUUUUUAUUAAUUUCAUUAAUUAAUGUAUAAAUGAUCCUUUAUUAUGGAUAAUUAGAAUAAGUUACCUUAGGGAUAACAGCGUAAUUUUUUUGGAGAGUUCUUAUCGAUAAAAAAGUUUGCGA